UCUGUGCGGCUUGACGCGGCGACACAGGGCGCAACAGUCUGCUGCUUCCCGAGGUUAGACCUGAGGAGGAAGAGGAGGAGAGGCGCGACGAGGAGAAGGAGGUGAAGAGGAGGGACACUGCAAAGCAGGAGACGGAGGAGGACGCGAGGAUGGAUCAUCUCCUUCACGCACCACCGCGCGUAACUGUGCGCACCCACGUGUGCAUGUGCGGGUGGAUGGAAGGUGAAGUCGGUGUGGCGUGGAGGCCCGAGCAGAUCCCUGACCUCAGCCACAUGCAGCCCCUCUGAGACUGCAGCCAGCCAACAUCUAUGUGGGACUGAUGCAGCCAGAAAAUCCCUGCAGCCAUGAGUCAACAUCUGGAGGAAAGGCUUAGUGUCUGUCAGGAUAAUGCAGUCCAGUUCGACGGCUCCACAAAAAUGCAUCCUCUGAAAUAAAGUUGAAACAAAACUCCUCUUGAACUGAUCAAACAUUACAACAAGUUUUUUGCAAGAUCGCUGCGUCAGUUUGAGCUUUUUCGAUGUUUCAGUGUCGCAUUCUUUCCUAAAUGCACUUCUUGUUUAACUGAUUUGUGUUUGA